rnacentral:lncRNA from 1 species
CGAGCAUCAUAGGACUUUGUGAGGAGGAUAUUUGACGAUUUUAUGUUUCCAUGAGACACGUUAGGGCCUUGAGAGUGCAGGUAUUCAAUUCCACAGGCAGCUCCAAGAGCAAUUCCAGAUCUAAUGUCCCAGUUCAGUGGAGUCCUUCCUGCUCCUUUGUUCCCUAAAUCCCACAAGUUAAAAAAGUGAGAAUAAUGAAAGAAAAAUUAAACCUACAUACAGCACUAUCACUCCAGAGAAUAUGAUGGAAUCUCCAGAAAUAGCUGAAAAAUGAUGACAAACACUUGAUUAAAAGAUAAAUUCUGCUCAAAAAAGAGAGAGGUAAAUGGCAGAAGGACAAGACCGAUGCAACAUCAUUGACCUAAGAAGAAUGAAUACUAUAUGAAAUUGAGUAUGUUCUAAAGAAGCAAUGCAGAUAUACUUUAAAUUCCACUCAUUUAAGCAACCUAUUUAAUCGGUGUUUAAAUGAUAAAAGAACUAUAGUGGAGUGCAGUUCAUGAUUAUCUUCAAAAAGGAUUUGAGUCUAAGAGCUAAACCACAACAAAUAAGAGAAUAAAAAAAAAAGGUAGAAACACAAAAAAGACUCAGUAAUCAUCGAAUGGAAAUGAUAACAACCAUUCACCAACAUAAAAUCUGCAAAAAGAAAAGCAAUAAAUGAUCCAAAAGGGACUGCUCUGAAUUAAACAAAAAAAUUGCUCACCAUGCAAAAGUGCAGAUAAGCUUCCCAUGGGCAUGUAAUCAUAGACAAGGAGCUUCUCAUCCCUGCUAAAAUAGUAAGCUCGGAGAGGGACCAAAUUUUGAUGAUCCAUAGCUCCAACCCCUUCAAUCCUAUCCUUGAAUUCCCUCUCAGAAAUAGUCACAUCC